UGUUGGCUUUCAUUUCUUCCGCCGCAGUUCGCCGAUGGACAACUCCGAUUCAGACUCCGACGGAUCUCACAUCUCCUCCACGCCUCCUCGUCAACCGCCACCACCGCAGCCACGGCCUCCGCAACCGCUGGCGGCGGCGGCGGCGGCUCGUACUCUUCUAUUUUCAAAUAAGCUACGAAAAAGCCCUAAAUCGAAAGCCAAACCUAGUUCUUCCAGGCCGAUUCUGAAGAUUAAGCCGUCCACCAAGAGACCUAAACCACCGCCUGAACCUCAAAUCGACCAAUCUGUCCCGUGUGAAACCCCUGAUGUUACUCUACCUUCUCAAAUCUCCGGUUGUGAUUCGUUUGAUGCCACUACUACAAGUAGUUCUGAUGUUAACCUACCGUUUCAGAUCCGCCGCACCUCCGGUUGUAGUUCGUUUGACACUUUUUGUCCUACUGAGAUUCUUCCGGCUGGUGGCUCGUGCUUAUCCAGAUUCUCGUCCUUUUCUAAGAUCCGUAUGUCUUCCUUGAACUUCAAACCGACUGAAAAGGAAAUCGAUGAUCAUGUUAAUGUCAAUCAUUUGGAAAGAGUUACUAAGAAGCAUCCGAAUUUGAUUGGUUCUAAUUUGGAACAACAGAAUAUGCCUGAUUCUGAUAGUGUAAAUGUAAAUGAAACCCUAAGUUGUAGAGAUUCGGGGAAAGUUGCGAAGAAACACCCGAACCUAAUUGGAAGUUGUGUUUAUGUUACUGAGCAGGUGAGCAAACCUAAACCGGUAAAUGAAGGUAACUUUGUGAGAUUGAACAUCAAUGGUCAUGGCGGUCGCAAAAAGUACGCAAACAAAGUUAGGAAAAGGAAUCCGAAUGCUUAUAUUGGAAAUCGGAAGUCGUAUAAGAGGAGCAAAAGAAAAUUGAAAAGUGUUGGUGAAGGUGAAGAAGAUGAAGAUAGGUUUUGUGAUGAAGGUUUGUCUAUGGAGGAAAAUGAGAAAACCGACACAAGGCUUGAUUCGGAGGUUAUUGAAAAGGCGGUGUUUGAUGUUCGGCAGGAUCCGUCUGAUGAUAAUUUAGUUAAGUUAUUGAAGCUAGUUUACGGAUACGAUUCUUUUAGAGAUGGGCAACUGGAAGCAAUCAAGUUAAUACUUUCCGGGAAAUCAAGUAUGGUGAUUUUGCCUACGGGAGCUGGGAAAUCGCUUUGCUAUCAAUUGCCUGCUAUGAUUUUGGAGGGAAUGUCACUUGUCAUAAGUCCGCUCGUGGCGCUUAUGUAUGAUCAACUUAGACAGCUGCCACCUGUGAUUCCAGGAGGUUUGUUAUGUAGCAGUCAGACACUAGAAGAGAGUUCUGAAACAAUUAGGCGGGCUCAAGAAGGGGCCUUGAAGGUCCUUUUUGUUUCUCCAGAGAGAUUACUAAAUACAGAAUUUACAUCGAUAUUUUCUGCAAAUUCACUCAUAUCACUUGUUGUGAUUGAUGAAGCUCACUGUAUUUCUGAAUGGUCUCAUAAUUUUCGCCCUUCAUAUAUGAGACUUCGGGCAUCCUUGCUUCGUUCUAGUCUUGGAGUAGGUUGCAUUCUUGCAAUGACAGCAACUGCAACAACCAAGACUAUGCAUGAUGUGAUGCGUUCUCUUGAGAUUCCUCCUACUAACCUCGUUCAAGCAGCACAAGUUAGGGAUAAUUUGCAGUUAUCUGUAUCUUUGAGUGGAAAUAGAAUGAAGGAUUUGAUGGCAUUGCUCAAAGCUUUGCCUUAUACAGAGGUUAAAAGCAUUAUAAUUUACUGCAAGUAUCAGUCGGAAACAGAUAUGAUCAGCAAGUUUCUAUGUGAUAGUAAUAUCCGAGCAAAGAGUUACCAUAGUGGGAUCCCUGCUAAAGAUCGAAGGCGUACACAAGAGUUGUUCUGUUCAAACAAGAUACGAGUGAUUGUUGCAACUGUUGCGUUCGGUAUGGGGCUUGAUAAAAGCGACGUUGGAGCUGUAAUUCACUACAGUUUACCUGAAAGUUUGGAAGAGUAUGUUCAGGAAAUUGGACGUGCUGGGCGUGAUGGGCGAGUAUCUUAUUGCCAUUUAUUUUUUGAUGAAACUACAUACUUUAAGCUCAGAAGUCUUAUGUACAGUGAUGGGCAGGAUCAAUACACAGUAAAUAAGUUUCUCUCUCAAGUUUUCAGUGGAGAUUCACAUUCACAAGGAAGGAUUUGCACAAUAGUCAAAGAAUCUGCAUCCAGGAAAUUUGAUAUGAAAGAAGAGGUUAUUCUAACUAUCUUAACUCGUUUGGAGUUAGCUGAAGAGCAGUACUUGCGUAUACUUCCCCAAACAAGUGUAACAUGUGUGUUAAAUUUUCACAUGACCUCCCCAGCAUUACUUGCUGCUAAGGAUACUGUAAUUGAAACAAUUUUGAAAAAGUCUGAAAUAAAAGAUGGACAAUAUGUUUUUGAAAUACCAACUGUGGCUUGUAGCAUUGGAUUUCAAGUUUCUACUGUAACUCAUCAUUUGCAGAAUCUGAAGUUGAAGGGUGAAAUUACAUACGAGUUGAAGGAUCCAGCUUAUUGUUACAUGCUUGUAAAUUUCCCAAGAGAUAUAUGUUCUUUGGCUGCUGAUCUGGCUAAAUGGUUAUCGGAUGUUGAAAGUUGCAAGGUGCGCAAAGUAGAUGCGAUGUUUAAUGCUGCACUUUUUGCGGUGAAAACGUGUGAUAGAACAAAUGGCUGUACUGAUUCCCAACACACACCUUGCUUGCAAAAGGAGAUAUUGGAAUACUUUAACGCAGAUAAUGACAACAGUAUACCAAAUAAAAUGGUCCAAACCAGCCGGUUUUUGAGGGCAGAUAUCAAGGUGUUUCUUCAAAGCAACUCACACGCCAAGUUUACUCCCCGGGCAAUUGCUAGGAUAAUGCAUGGUAUAGCAAGUCCAGCUUUUCCUUCUUCAACUUGGUGUAAAACCCAUUUCUGGGGUAGGUAUAUACAAACAAACUUUGAUGUUAUCAUGGAAGCAGCAAAGGCAGAACUGAUGGCUUGUGCAGGGAAAUCUGCAGUUUAACUAACUGGUUUCCUCACUGGUUUUUAUUUGACAGGCAAGCUAGAAUUCAAGUACUAGAGUUUCUUCAGAUUGUUGCUCCAUGAGUCCCCUAAAUCACAUCUCUUAUGCAUGCUGCCAAAUGUCAGAUGAAGAUCGGACAUAAUGUAUAACUCAAUUUGUAAAGAUGUGAACAUUAAGUUACAAAAAUGAAAAAAACUAAAACAGGAAACAUGGCAGGCUUUAUAUCUUGCUUCAACACCAUUUGAGCAAUAUCGGUUAGAGGAACUUUUGUAACUUAUAAACAAAACUAUGAGGCUAAGGGGUAUGGGGGCAUGGGAUGGGUCAUGGAUUGCCAUCUAGGAUGGUGGGUGAUGUGCUACACCACCCCCUUAGGGAACCACCAUGGUUAGCAUGGAUUAAACCAUAUAGGGUGGUGGAUUUGAGUGGUGGAUGAGAGUGGGAUGAUAAGGCGUUGACGUGAAGGGUCAUGUUGUUAAUACUAUUUGCAUCUGCAUUUUAUUAUUUACUUAGUUAUGGGCUAAUGUCAUCGUACUUGGUUCAUUUCACCA